GGGGGGAAAAACGGGAAUGAAAUGGGGGAAAAUGGGAAUGAAAUGGGGGAAAAAUGGGAAUUCUGGGGGGAAAACGGGAAUGAAAUGGGAAAAACGGGAAUGAAAUGGGAAAAACGGGAAUGAAAUGGGAAUUCUGGGGGGAAGAACGGGAAUAAAAUGGGAAUUCUGGGGGAAAAACGGGAAUUCUGGGGGGAAAAACGGGAAUGAAAUGGGGGAAAAAUGGGAAUGAAAUGGGAAAAAUGGGAAUGAAAUGGGGAAAAAAAUGGGAAUUCUGGGGGAAAAAUGGGAAUGAAAGGGGGGAAAAUGGGAAUGAAAUGGGAAUUCUGGGGGGANNNNNNNNNNNNNNNNNNNNAAAAUCUGGGAAUUCUGGGCAGAAAAAACUCCAAAAUCCAAGGAAAAUCCCCCAAAAUCUGGGAAUUCCAGGCAGGAAAAACCCAAAAAUCCAAGGAAAAUCCCCCAAAAUCUGGGAAUUCCUGGCAGGAAAAACCCAAAAUCCAAAGAAAAUUCCCCAAAUCCAAGGAAAAUUCCCAAAUCCAUGGGAUUCCAGCAGGAAAAUCCCCCAAAAUCUGGGAAUUCUGGGCAGGAAAAACUCCAAAUCCAAGGAAAAUUCCCCAAAAUCUGGGAAUUCCAGCAGGGAAAACCCCAAAAUCCAAGGAAAAUUCCCAAAUUCCUGGGAAUUCCAGCAGGAAAAACCUCCAAAUCCAAGGAAAAUUCCCAAAUCCAUGGAAUUCCAGCAGGAAAAAACCCAAAAUCCAAGGAAAAUCCCCCAAAAUCUGGGAAUUCCGGGCAGGGAAAACCCCAAAAUCCAAGGAAAAUUCCCCAAAAUCUGGGAAUUGCCAACAGGAAAACCCCAAAAUCUGGGAAUUCCGGCAGGACAAAAAAACGCAAAUCCAAGGAAAAACCCCAAAAUCCAAGGAAAAUCCCCCAAAAUCUGGGAAUUCCGGGCAGGGAAAACCCCAAAAUCCAAGGAAAAUUCCCAAAUUCCUGGGAAUUCCAGCAGGAAAAACCUCCAAAUCCAAGGAAAAUUCCCAAAUCCAUGGAAUUCCAACUGGGAAAACCCCAAAAUCUGGGAAUUCUGGGCAGGAAAAACUCCAAAUCCAAGGAAAAUUCCCCAAAAUCUGGGAAUUCCAGCAGGGAAAACCCCAAAAUCCAAGGAAAAUUCCCAAAUUCCUGGGAAUUCCAGCAGGAAAAACCUCCAAAUCCAAGGAAAAUUCCCAAAUCCAUGGAAUUCCAACUGGGAAAACCCCAAAAUCUGGGAAUUCUGGGCAGGAAAAACCCAAAAUCCAAGGAAAAUCCCCCAAAUCCAAGGAAAAUUCCCAAAUAUCUGGGAAUUCUGGGCAGGAAAAACCCAAAAUCCAAGGAAAAUCCCCCAAAAUCUGGGAAUUCCUGGCAGGAAAAACUCCAAAAUCCAAGGAAAAUUCCCAAAUUCCUGGGAAUUCCAGCAGGAAAAACCUCCAAAUCCAAGGAAAAUCCCCCAAAAUCUGGGAAUUCCCAACAGGAAAACCCCAAAAUCUGGGAAUUCCAGCAGGGAAAAAAACCCAAAUCCAAGGAAAAAACCCCAAAAUCUGGGAAUUCCUGGCAGGAAAAACCCAAAAUCCAAGGAAAAUUCUCCAAAUCCAAGGAAAAUUCCCAAAUCCAUGGAAUUCCAACUGGGAAAACCCCAAAAUCUGGGAAUUCCUGGCAGGAAAGACCCCAGAAUCCAAGGAAAAUUCCCCAAAAUCUGGGAAUUCCAGGCAGGAAAACCCCCAAAAUCCAAGGAAAAUUCCCAAAUUCCUGGAAUUCCGGCAGGAAAAUCCCCCAAAUCCCUGGAAAAUUCCUGGAAUUCCCUGCCGGGGUUGAACUCCAGGAUCCGGGAAAAGCUGGAAAAAUCCUUUCCCGGUUUUUUUUUUUCCCGGGAAAUUCCCGUUUUUCCCUUCGUUCCCUGGGAAGGCGACGCGAGGCCUGGAGGAGCUGCUGGCGGUUCCGGAAUGUUCCGCAGCCGUCCUGGAAAAAUUGCCGCGGCUUUUCCGGAGUCUCCUGGUGCGGCUCGGCUGCUCCGUGGGCGUCCGGGCCCCCAGAUCCCUGCAGGGGAAGGAGAAAGGGGGAAAAGAGGCCUGGGGAUGUUUCUCCGGCGGCAAAACAAUCCCAGCCCCAUAAAUCUUUCAUUCCGUGGAAAAAAAAUUCUUUCCAGUAGCUCCGGAGGUUUUUUCUUUCCCUUUCCCGGUUUUUUUUUUGUGUCUGGGAGGAUUUUUUUUUGUCUCGGAAUUUUUUUUUCUCGUUCCGGGUGAGCCGGGAGCGGAAUUCCCUCCGGAAUGGAGACGGGGGCGAGCCGGAAUCUGAUCCUGGAGCAGGUCCUGGAGCCAAUUCCGGACCCAAUCCUGAUCCAGGAAUCUGAUCCUGGAGCAGGUCCUGGAGCCAAUUCCGGACCCAAUCCUGAUCCAAUCCCGAAUCCAAUUCUGAAUCCAACCCGGAAUCUGAUCCUGGAGCCGGUUCUGGAGCCAAUUCCGGACCCAAUCCUGAUCCAGUUCUGAAUCCAAUCCGAAAUCCGGUCCUGGAGCCGGUUCUGGAACCAAUUCCGGACCCAAUCCCGAUCCAAUCCCUAAUCCAACCGGGAAUCCGGUCCUGGAGCAGGUCCUGGAGCCAAUUCCGGACCCAAUCCCGAUCCAAUCCUGAAUCCAAUCCAGAAUCUGAUCCUGGAGCCGGUUCUGGAGCCAAUUCCGGACCCAAUCCUGAUCCAGUUCUGAAUCCAAUCCGGAAUCUGAUCCUGGAGCCGGUUCUGGAGCCAAUUCCGGACCCAAUCCUGAUCCAGUUCUGAAUCCAAUCCCAAAUCCAGUCCUGGAGCCGGUUCUGGAGCCAAUUCCAGACCCAAUCCCGAUCCAAUCCUGAAUCCAACCCGGAAUCUGAUCCUGGAGCAGGUCCUGGAGCCAAUUCCGGACCCAAUCCUGAUCCAAUUCUGAAUCCAAUCCGGAAUCCGGUCCUGGAGCCAAUUCCGGACCCAAUCCUGAUCCAAUCCCGAAUCCAACCCGGAAUCUGAUCCUGGAGCAGAUCCUGGAACCAAUUCCGGACCCAAUCCCGAUCCAAUCCCGAAUCCAACCUGGAAUCCGGUCCUGGAGCCAGUCCUGGAGCCAAUUCCAGACCCAAUCCUGAUCCAAUUCUGAAUCCAAUCCGAAAUCCGGUCCUGGAGCCGGUUCUGGAGCCAAUUCCGGACCCAAUCCCGAUCCAAUCCCGAAUCCAUUCCCAAAUCCAGUCCUGGAGCCAAUUCCGGACCCAAUCCCGAUCCAAUUCUGA
ensembl:lncRNA